rnacentral:rRNA from 1 species
UGGGCAACCUGCCCUCAGCUCUGGGAUAACUCCGGGAAACCGGGGCUAAUACCGGAUAUGACUGCUGACCGCAUGGUCUGGUGGUGGAAAGAUUUAUCGGCUGGGGAUGGGCCCGCGGCCUAUCAGCUUGUUGGUGGGGUAGUGGCCUACCAAGGCGACGACGGGUAGCCGGCCUGAGAGGGUGACCGGCCACACUGGGACUGAGACACGGCCCAGACUCCUACGGGAG